ensembl:lncRNA
CGCUAGCGCGGCAGAAUAUCAGCGCGCGGGCCGCUGAAUGUUAAUGCGCGUUGUUAGCUGAUGAUUUACGUCGCUUAUACUUCAUUACAUGAGUUUAAUAUGAGUCUUGGUGGGGUCGCCCUUCCCCUUCCUGCCCGCCCAAUGGCCCGCUUGAUGAAUGGGAGGAGAGAGGGUGGAGGAGAGAGGAAGGAGGGUGGAGGACGCAGAAGCGGAAAUUAGUGGAGGCUUGUUCCCCGUUCUUGGCCCCAUGUUAUGCUCCCCGGCACUGAAGUCGGUACUGAUGCGGCGCCAACUUGGCGCUUCAAAGAAAGCACAAGGGAUACAAACGCAGGCCACAAUCCCGCUUUGUUUAUAAGUAUGUAUUGUCAAAGGAAAGCAACAGAGCUUGGGAGUCUGCAGGAAGUGUUUAAAGUGCUGACGGUGUUUCAGACACGUGACGCCUGGAAGCAAACAGGAAGUCCUUAACCUGCAUAAAAAACAACCUCUUGUAUUGCACCAAUUCACCAGGUCAAACUCCUCUGUGUGUAACAUAUGUGGCAAUAAAUGGCUUCCGAUUCUGAUUCUGAUUAAAAAUAAUCCCACUGUCUUUUAA